GUGUACUCAGGUGAAUAUGAUAUUUGUGGUGUUACUCUCUACUUGGAUAUACACUCAGAGUAACACCACAAAUAUCAUAUUCACCUGAGUACACUACA